rnacentral:lncRNA from 1 species
AUGGUUAGGGUAUCUUUGGGGUUAAUUGCUGCAUUUUUUGAUAAACAGGUCUAGAGACGUAGUUGAAGUUAGAGGUGCACAAAUCGGGUUAGGGUUUUAACCUGAACCGGCUUCAAACUGCUUUGAAGUGAAGCUUAAAAAAGUCAUGGGUUAAUACAGGUUUAGGAUGCUAAAACAGGUGCCAACUUAUUCUUCUUGGACAUGACGCACCUGUUAGUUCUAUAUGCCCGCAUAGCAAAGAUAACAUUCAGUAUAUAUCUUUUCAACGGCUAUGAGUAGAAAGAUCAAGGCGUGGUUACAUGUUGAUCCAGCUUCAAAAAUUGAUUUUGAAACCCCUGGUUAUGUCUGGACAAAAUGGCAUACAAUACUGAUGGGUCAAGUAACGCUUAGCAUUUUUGUAUAAUCCAUAUUUAGACGAAAUGGCAUACAAUACUGAUGGGUCAUGUAACACUUAGCAUUUUUGUGUAAUCCAUAUUUAGACGAAAUGGCAUACAAUACUAAUGGGUAAUGUAACGCUUAGCAUUUUGGUAUAAUCCAUAUUUAGAAAGUUGUAUUCACAUUUAUAUUUAUAGAAACUUGUAUUCGUAUUUCAUUUCCAAUCUUGUAAUCCGAGACUUCGAUCAUAAUAAGAAAAUC